rnacentral:RNase_P_RNA from 2 species
CAAGCAGUCCGGAUGAUCGCGCGUGCCAGGGCCGAAAGGCGGUACGUGAGGAAAGUCCGGGCUCCACAGGGCAGGGUGCUGGGUAACACCCAGUGGGGGUGACCCCGAGGAAAGUGCCACAGAAAUGGAUACCGCCCGGUACUCAUAACGGGUGCCGGGUAAGGGUGGAACGGUGCGGUAAGAGCGCACCAGCGGCCAGGCGACUGGUCCGCUAGGUAAACCCCACCUGGAGCAAGACCGAAUAGGGAGGCAAUGAAGCGGCCCGCAUGAGCCUCCGGGUAGGUUGCUUGAGGCCCCGGGCAACCGGGGUCCCAGAGAGAUGAUCAUCACCUUCGGAAGGAAGGUACAGAACCCGGCUUACAGGACUGCUUGCUCA